rnacentral:rRNA from 1 species
GUAAACUCCUUUUCUUGGCGACGAAUCAGCACAGCAGGCAAUGGUUGGUCGAUGACGGUACUCCAGGAACAAGCGCCGUCUAGCUUCGUUACAGCAGCCGCGGUAAGACGAAGGGCGCAAGCGUUAUCCGGAAUCACUGGGCGUAAAGGGCGUCUAGGCGCCCAAUCAAGUCGACGUUGAAAGCCCUUGGCUAAACUGAUGGAGGUACGUCGAAACUGAUUGGCUCGAGGAACGUAGAGGAGGGCGGAACUCUCGGAGUAGCGGUGAAAUGCGUAGAGCCCGAGAGGUACCCCGAUGGUGAAGACAGCCUUCUGGGCGUCUCCUGACGCUGAAGCGCUAAGCCCAGGGGAGCGAAGGGGAUUAGAUACCCCCGUAGUCCUGGCUUCAAACGAUGUGGGCUUGGUGUCCGCUCCCGACAGAGAAUCGUUGCCGGAGUUAACGCGUUAAGCCCACCGCCUAGGGACUACGUCCGCAAGGAUGAAACUCAAAGGAAUUGACGG